AUAACUAUUAGCACUUAGGGUUUAACUUUAUUCAAAAACAUAGAAAUAUUCUUGAGUUGCGCCUCUUACUGACUUACUCUUAGCGGCGCCUCUCCUUAUAAGAACACAGUGUCUCACUGUCUCUCACUCUCAAGUUUCAUUAUUCACAUCAAGAAGAGGUAUUCAAGCUCACAGUCAUAGCUUCACACCUAAGAGUGUAGCAUCAGAAUGUGCUUUCAGCACCGCGGGGUGUGUUCUUGAUUCAUUUAGGAGUUCAUUAACUCCUAAAUUGGUAGAAGCUCUAGUGUGUCUACAAGAUUGGCUUCGAAGUGAAUCACAACCUAUAAGUAUCGAGGAGAAUUUAGAUUCUCUUAAGCAACUUGAACAAGAUUUGGCCAAAGUUGGAAAAGAACCUAGCAAUAGCAUUGAUGACAUAUUAGCAACUUGAACAAGGUUUCACCAUGUCUUAACGUCGUGGUCUUAAAGUUCGAUCACCUGUUUAGAAUCACUAUCAAAAGCUUGAAGAAGAUGAUGAUGGAGGGUGCAAAGUGAAGUGUAUUCAUUGUGGUAAUGUUUAUAAUUACCAUCCACGACACACUGGGACUUAGUGCCUGAGGGCUCAUGUUGAUCGUUGUUUGGAGAGGAUGCAGUAUCGUGCUCGACUGCUCGUCGGUAGUAUAAGACUUAGUAAUAAUUAAUAUUAUUACUAUGUAAUUUGAACUUAAUUACCAAAUUCAGUGAUUGUUGCUUUGGAUUUUCGUAUUCUGUUUGUGCUAGACCAGUAGACUAUUUUUAAGUUAUGACUUUAGUUUGAAUGUUUUA